rnacentral:rRNA from 1 species
CCUACGGGGGGCAGCAGUGAGGAAUAUUGGUCAAUGGGCGAGAGCCUGAACCAGCCAAGUCGCGUGAAGGAUGAAGGAUCUAUGGUUUGUAAACUUCUGUUAUAGGGGAAUAAAGUGAGGAACGUGUGCCUUUUUGUAUGUACCAUAUGAAUAAGCAUCGGCUAACUCCGUGCCAGCAGCCGCGGUAAUACGGAGGAUGCGAGCGUUAUCCGGAUUUAUUGGGUUUAAAGGGUGCGUAGGUGGUUACGUAAGUCAGCGGUGAAAGUUUGUGGCUCAACCAUAAAAGUGCCGUUGAAACUUGUUGCCUUGCGUAUAUUUGAGGUAGGCGGAAUGCGUGGUGUCGCGGUGAACUGCCUAGAUCUCACUCAGAACUCCGAUUGCGACGGCAGCUUACUACACUAUACCUGACACUGACGCACGACCGCGUGGGGAUCAAACAGGAUUAGCUACCCUGGUAGUC